AGUAUGAACGCAUGUGUGUGUGUGAGAGAGAGAGAGAUCAGAGCUGGGAAGCUCAAGAAACAACAGGACCCAAUCAGCUCUUCUGUCUGCAAAGAUCAUGAGAACACCUGAUGGCAGCAGCAGACGUCAGAAAGAUUCUUCAUGAAUGAUGUUGAUAAAGACCUUCUGAAGUGGAGCUCCGUAAUCAUAGCCGGACUAAUGAGCAGAAGACGACUUUUAAUGGACUUUCCCAAGCAUUCAACGAAUGUCCGUUUGCUUAAUUUAGGAAGAACAUGAACAACUGUCUCUAUAUAUUAAUGUAGGGAGUAAAACACAUAGUAUAUUUUCUAUUUCAGGGGGUAUGCUAGCAAUUAAAUAGCAAUACA